rnacentral:rRNA from 1 species
CCUACGGGCGGCAGCAGUGGGGAAUAUUGCGCAAUGGGCGAAAGCCUGACGCAGCAACGCCGCGUGCGGGAUGACGGCCUUCGGGUUGUAAACCGCUUUCAGCAGGGACGAAACUGACGGUACCUGCAGAAGAAGCACCGGCUAACUACGUGCCAGCAGCCGCGGUGAUACGUAGGGUGCGAGCGUUGUCCGGAAUUAUUGGGCGUAAAGAGCUCGUAGGCGGUCUGUCGCGUCGGAAGUGAAAACUCGGGGCUCAACCCCGAGCCGGCUUUCGAUACGGGCAGACUUGAGGAAUGUAGGGGAGAACGGAAUUCCUGGUGGAGCGGUGGAAUGCGCAGAUAUCAGGAGGAACACCAGUGGCGAAGGCGGUUCUCUGGACAUUAACUGACGCUGAGGAGCGAAAGCGUGGGGAGCAAACAGGCUUAGAUACCCUUGUAGUC